rnacentral:rRNA from 1 species
UAGCGACAGGCCAACACAUGCAAGCAGGGCAGCACAAGGAGCAAUCUGAGGUGGCGACCGGCGCACGGGUGAGUAACACGUAUGCAACCUGCCUGUAAGCGGGGAAUAACCCGUUGAAAGACGGACUAAUACCGCAUAAUACUAAAUUACUGCAUGGUAAUUUAUUUAAACAUUUAUGGCUUACAGAUGGGCAUGCGCAUGAUUAGCUAGUUGGAGAGGUAACGGCUCCCCAAGGCAACGAUCAUUAGGGGUUCUGAGAGGAAGGUCCCCCACACUGGUACUGAGACACGGACCAGACUCCUACGGGAGGCAGCAGUGAGGAAUAUUGGUCAAUGGACGAGAGUCUGAACCAGCCAAGUCGCGUGCAGGAAGAAUGUCCCUAUGGAUUGUAAACUGCUUUUGCAGGGGAAUAAAGUGCAUCACGUGUGAUGUUUGUACUGUACCCUCUGCGAACUUAAGGAUCGGCUACUCGUGCCAGCAGCCGC